rnacentral:rRNA from 1 species
UAGACCUCAACUCAGGCAAGACUACCUGCUGAACUUAAGCAUAUCAGUAAGCAGAGGAAAAGAAAACAACUGUGAUUCCCUUAGUAACUGCGAGUGAAGCGGGAAAAGCCCAUCGUUUAAUCUUCCCGGACUGUGGUCGGGACGACAUGUAACGGUAUGGAUAGGUUCUCUAUCGGCUCUGUCUGGUCAAAGUCCUCCGGAUUGAGGUGCCAAAGAGGGUGACAGCCCCGUGUGUGACUGGAUAGAGUUGAGUAUGUGGCCGAUUCCGAGAGUCGGGUUGUUUGGGACUGCAACCUAAAGCAGGUGGUAAACUCCACCCAAGGCUAAAUAUUGACACGAAACCGAUAGCGAAUAAGUACUGUGAAGGAAAGUUGAAAAGAACUCUGAAAAGAGAGUUAAAAGUACGUGAAACCGCUAACGGGGAAGCGGAAGGCAGUGUCGAGAUUGAGUGAGUGAGUUGAUUCAAGUUAGUUAAAGUUGAUUAACAAAUUAACUUGGGGCGGCUAGCUUUGCUCGAUGCGUCAGGACUAUCGGUGUGCGGUGGCUCAAUUGUCGGCAUGGCUUCCGCGACACUGCAUAUUUAAUUAAAUUAAGUAUGCAGUGUCGCGGUUGCGGCAGAUGAUCCGCCUCGUGCGCUGGUAWGGAUGUGGUGAGGCGUUGGUGAUGUAGUGUCGGUUGGUGUUGUGUGGUGCCCCGCGUAGUCACAUUGUGGCUACGUGUGGGGAAGUCGUGUGAUAGUUCAACAACCAGUGCCAGUUCCUGACGUGAUACCUAACCUUCCGACCCGUCUUGAAACACGGACCAAGGAGGCAGAAUCUAGAGCGAGUUGGAGGGUGGAAAACCCGACGGCGCAGUGAAAGCGAGAGAUGAGACCCUGUGGCCUCGGCUGCGGGGGCAUCAUCGGCCAGUCAUCUUGGGGUGAUUGAGUUUGAGCUGUAGAUGCUGGACCCGAAAGAUGGUGAACUAUGCGUGAGCAGGGCGAAGCCAGAGGAAACUCUGGUGGAGGCUCGUAGCGAUUCUGACGUGCAAAUCGAUCGUUUGACUUGCGUAUAGGGGCGAUAGACUAAUCGAACCAUCUAGUAGCUGGUUCCCUUCGAAAUAUCCCUCAGGAUCGCUGAGACAAGUGGGAGACAGUUUCAUCGGGUAGAGCGAAUGAUUAGAGGAAUCGGGGAUAUCUUACUCUCGACCUAUUCUCAAACUUCCAACCGGUGAGGGCGCCGUUUACUUUGAUAAUUAAUUAAUUAAUCGAUGAAACGGUGCGGUGAAUGUUUUUGUCUCAAGUGGGCCAUUUUUGGUAAGCAGAACUGGCGAUGCGGGAUGAACCGAGAGUUGAGCUAAGGUGCCAAAGGACACGUUGAUAGAUACCACAAAAGGAGUCGGUCGAUAAAGACAGCAGGGCGGUGGCCCUGAAAGUAGGAAUCCGCUAAGGAAUUGUCUAAAAACUCACCUGCCGAAUCGACCGGCCCUGAAAAUGGAUGGCGCUGAAUCGUGUCACCGAUGCUCGACCUCUACCACGAGAGAUGUUGGUAGGGGGUAGAAGGGCGCGGCGGUGGCGACAAAGUACAAAGUGUAAACUUGUAUGGAGCUGCCGUCGGUGUAGAUCUUGGUGGUAGUAGCAAUUAUAAAAGUGAAAACCUUUUAGGCCGAAGUGGAGAAGGGUUCCACGUGAACAGCAGUUGGACGUGGGUUAGUCGGUCCUAAGCGGUUGCCUAACGGUAAUUCCAAAGCCAACUUGUGGGGCGUUCAUUGUCGAUAUCUUGYUGAUUUAUAAUAAUUAUACAUUUAACAAGGURUGGGYGUGGGCGCAACUAUGUUGGAAUCCGCGAAAGGGAAUCAGGUUAAUAUUCCUGAACCGGGCUAUGGAGACGCUGCCUUUUUAUAUGAYAUAAUUUAAUUAUGUUGUAGUAGGGGCAGCUUAGCGGUAACGCAAACAAUCUCGGAGACGUUGACAUCUAUGGCGGAGAGAAUUAUCUUUUCUGUAUAACAGGUAAAGAACCUUGGAAUCGAGUCAUUCGGAGAUAAGGUAAAAAGCCUGGAAGAGCACCGCAACUAUUGCAGUGUCCGCAUUGUAGGUGUCGGCCCUUGAAAAUCCGAGGGAGUGGAUAAAUUUCAUGCCCGUCCGUACCGAAACCGCAUCAGGUCUCCUAGGUGAGCAGCCUCUGGCACUGGAACAAUGUAGGUAAGGGAAGUCGGCAAAAUAGAUCCGUAACUUCGGGAAAAGGAUUGGCUCUAAGGGCCGGGCCAAUCGAGCUGGUAUUACCUAGGUUAGUGGGCGUCUGACUGGGUGUUUUUCCAUUUGCGUAUGCUUGUGGAAGGAUAGGUGGUCGGGUGAACGCUGGCCAAGGAAUGCCGGCGUGAGUUUGGUUAUUCAAACAACUCUUUGUUAUUUAAUAAUUWAUUGAGUAACAUGGGGGGACGGGGAUAAAACCAAACUCUUUAUGGGUGGCAAGCGUCGGCCAGCUUAGAACUGUUACCAACUUGGGGAAUCCGACUGUUUAAUUAAAACAAAGCAUUGCGAUGGCCGGAAACGGUGUUGACGCAAUGUGAUUU